UUUCCCCUUCAUGACAUUUGACAAUUGCUAUAUUCCCCAGUUCAUUCUGGUGAAUGGCUAGUUUUAAAUUCUUCUUCUUCUUUCAUUUAAAGCUUAACCCUCUUACAGGCGCACACCACAUAAUCCUCAGCCGAUUGUUAAUGUUAAUUUGGAAUGACAAUUAAAUUGGAUUUCUUUUUGUCCCGAAUUAAAUAGGAAUUUGGAAUAGUCAUCCCGUGAAAAGCCUCGCAAAAAGUUUAAAGAUAUCAACUAUUCGAAAGGAAGACACAUCUUAUCAUUACUGCGUGACAAAAAUCUGGCUUGAAUUGAAUUGAUUGAUUGAUUUUGCCACAAGUUUAAAUAGAAAGCAAACCUUCAAAAUGGGAAUAUUUACGGCCUACGUAUCACAGGUCUACAGAUAUCUAAAAAUAUAUACAAAUCCACAAAGUCUGCCCAACCGACAUUGCCAAUUUUAUCGUGUCCCAGAAGAAUCGUGCAAUUCACAGCUGUUCGAAGGAUCCAACAGGAGAGUUAAUCUUUGGGGACUGAGGCUUACCACUAUGCCUAGAAUUGAAGAGCCUACACUUGCACACAAAUGUUACAUCCAUCCAUUUUGCAAGUAAGUUCGUAAAUGGGUCAUAUCGGCCCACAUUUUCGUAUAGCCCCACAUAACGGUACCUCCCUUUAUUCAGUACUUUUAUGAUUUAAGCGACAUUAUUAACAGGAAUGGUUUCAAAUUCCGUAUUUGAAGCUCUUGAUAGUCUUUGACAAAGUUGCGUAUACAGGUCCGACAGACCGGCAUUGUUUCAAAUUUCACAUUUGAAUUUCGGAAUCGGUACUACAGCCUAUGCAAGUCCACGUCUUCUAGCUUCCAUAUAACAGUUUUUAUUUUAAAGGCAUUUUUCGGCGG